GUUUGAUCAUGGCUCAAAUUGAACGCUGGCGGCAGGCCUAACACAUGCAAGUCGAGCGGAUGAGAAGAGCUUGCUCUUCGAUUCAGCGGCGGACGGGUGAGUAAUACCUAGGAAUCUGCCUGGUAGUGGGGGACAACGUUUCGAAAGGAACGCUAAUACCGCAUACGUCCUACGGGAGAAAGCAGGGGACCUUCGGGCCUUGCGCUAUCAGAUGAGCCUAGGUCGGAUUAGCUAGUUGGUGAGGUAAUGGCUCACCAAGGCUACGAUCCGUAACUGGUCUGAGAGGAUGAUCAGUCACACUGGAACUGAGACACGGUCCAGACUCCUACGGGAGGCAGCAGUGGGGAAUAUUGGACAAUGGGCGAAAGCCUGAUCCAGCCAUGCCGCGUGUGUGAAGAAGGUCUUCGGAUUGUAAAGCACUUUAAGUUGGGAGGAAGGGCAGUAAGCGAAUACCUUGCUGUUUUGACGUUACCGACAGAAUAAGCACCGGCUAACUCUGUGCCAGCAGCCGCGGUAAUACAGAGGGUGCAAGCGUUAAUCGGAAUUACUGGGCGUAAAGCGCGCGUAGGUGGUUCGUUAAGUUGGAUGUGAAAUCCCCGGGCUCAACCUGGGAACUGCAUCCAAAACUGGCGAGCUAGAGUAGGGCAGAGGGUGGUGGAAUUUCCUGUGUAGCGGUGAAAUGCGUAGAUAUAGGAAGGAACACCAGUGGCGAAGGCGACCACCUGGGCUCAUACUGACACUGAGGUGCGAAAGCGUGGGGAGCAAACAGGAUUAGAUACCCUGCUAGUCCACGCCGUAAACGAUGUCAACUAGCCGUUGGAAUCCUUGAGAUUUUAGUGGCGCAGCUAACGCAUUAAGUUGACCGCCUGGGGAGUACGGCCGCAA
rnacentral:rRNA from 1 species